rnacentral:rRNA from 1 species
CGCAAGCCUGACGGAGCGACGCCGCGUGUGGGAAGAAGGCUCUUGGGCUGUCAACCACUUUUCUCAGGGAAGAAGCCCUGACGGUACCUGAGGAAUCAGCCUCGGCUAACUCCGUGCCAGCAGCCGCGGUAAUACGGAGGAGGCAAGCGUUAUCCGGAAUUAUUGGGCGUAAAGCGUCCGCAGGGGGCACAUCAAGUCUGCUGUUAAAGGCUGGAGCUUAACUCCGGUAGAGCAGUGGAAACUGGUGUGCUAGAGGGCGACAGGGGUAGAGGGAAUUCCCAGUGUAGCGGUGAAAUGCGUAGAGAUUGGGAAGAACACCGGUGGCGAAAGCGCUCUACUGGGUCGCACCUGACCCUCAGGGACGAAAGCUAAGGUAGCG